rnacentral:lncRNA from 1 species
GCCCGGUGUCUGCCCUGACUUACCUCAGUGAUGGAGUGUGACCUGAGAGUUCUAAGCUGAAGGGAAACUGAGGCUGAGAGAUGUCUGCUGCAAACACGUCCCUACCCACUAUGAGUAGAGUGUGCCCCCGGGGCUCACUCUUCCCUGGCCUGCAGUGCUUUUUCUCUGGGUGUGCUGGAGAGUGGAGAUGGGAAAAGCUACAGUCUCUGAACCCAGCUGAAGCAGGCUGCCCUGCACUCUGGACAGGCCGAUCCCUGGCAGCGGCAGGUGUGCGGAUCUGCAAGUGUGUGCAUGUACCUGAGCGUCCCACGGAGUGCGGGCGUGAGAGAAGGUACCCACCUUCUGUCAGCUAUCAGCUAACUUCACUUAAACAGCAGGGAAACAGAAGAGAGGAGGAGAAUGCUGGCUGGAACAUUCACAGUCACCGUCCGAUCUGACAGGGGCAGGGUGUUUAGUUUAAUUCUGGAGACUCUGGGGAGGGUGUAAACAGCAGAGCCUGUGGCAGCUGCUGCUGCUGCUUGCUGCUGCUGCUGCUGCUGGAUUUCUGGUUGGAGAUAUCCUGAUGACAGAGAGUGGACUUGCCCCUAAGGAACCUGACACCCCUAAUGAGCAGGAAGUGGUCUAAAGAGACACCCGCUCAGCAUGAAACUGGACCAACUCCUGACGGGCUACCCAGCACUGAGUCACAGCAGCAUCCUGCUAACCCAAGGGAGCCACAGACUCCAACUACUGAAAAUAUAAGCCAAUCCCUAGAGCCACCAGGUUUGGACUUCAGUGUAUACUUUGUGGGUUCAGUUCAAUUCCACCAUGCUUGUACAUGUAUGGCUGGCUUCUGUCCCUGAACCAUCCCCCUUCUCCCUGAGCGAGGACUCUCUAGCAUGGAUUUACUUCACUGAAGUAGACACAUGAGAGGAUGUUUUGCUGAGAACAGACACGUGGCCUUUUUCUGGAAGCUGUCUUGUGAGAGGGCAUGUGAUAUUUUGCUGAAACAGACACUGGAGAGGGAACAUGGUGUUUAAAACGAAUAAAGAAGUUCCGGAGAGCUUUGUGUGGUAAUCGGCUGCUUUGCACCACUCCUCGGGACUUGCGGUGAUAUGGCAGAGCCUUAUGGUUUCUUCUGGAUCAAGCCACUGCUACUAAAUCAUGUUGGGUGUUUUCCGACUGGGUUGGACUGCCACUAUUGAUUCAUGGUUGAUGUUUUGGACUGGACUGCUGAUAUCCUGACCACAAAAUUGAAAUCCCUCUUGUCCUAUAAACCUUCCUCUACCUCUGGUCAGUGGGACAGAAGGGAAGGGAAAGUGUUUAAGAACCCUAAGUAAAGUAGAUUUUG